CCUACGGGAGGCAGCAGUGGGGAAUAUUGCACAAUGGGCGAAAGCCUGAUGCAGCGACGCCGCGUGAGGGAUGACGGCCUUCGGGUUGUAAACCUCUUUCAGCAGGGAAGAAGCGCAAGUGACGGUACCUGCAGAAGAAGCACCGGCUAACUACGUGCCAGCAGCCGCGGUAAUACGUAGGGUGCGAGCGUUGUCCGGAAUUAUUGGGCGUAAAGAGCUCGUAGGCGGUCUGUCGCGUCGGAUGUGAAAGCCCGGGGCUUAACCCCGGGUCUGCAUUCGAUACGGGCAGACUAGAGUGUGGUAGGGGAGAUCGGAAUUCCUGGUGUAGCGGUGAAAUGCGCAGAUAUCAGGAGGAACACCGGUGGCGAAGGCGGAUCUCUGGGCCAUUACUGACGCUGAGGAGCGAAAGCGUGGGGAGCGAACAGGAUUAGAUACCCUGGUAGUCCACGCCGUAAACGUUGGGAACUAGGUGUUGGCGACAUCACGUCGUCGGUGCGCNGCUACGCAUAGUUCCUCGCGUGGGAGGUACGGCCGCGAGGACGUAAACGUAACGUAAAGAAGUUAGACGGUCGUUGAGACGUUGCCGACGGCGACGACGAGGGAGGAGG
rnacentral:rRNA from 1 species